UGGUUCUGGCAUCGAUGAAGAACGCAGCGAAAUGCGAUAAGUAAUGCGAAUUGCAGAAUUUCAGUGAGUCAUCGAAUCUUUGAACGCACAUUGCGCCCUUUGGUAUUCCGAAGGGCAUGCCUGUCCGAGCGUCAUUAUCACCCCUCAAGCCCCGUGCUAGGUGUUGGAUGGGGUCGGUCACACGACCCCUUCCCAAAGACAAUGACGGCGGCCUGUGGUUCCCCCGGUACACUGAGCUUCACUCUCGAGUGGCACGUAUCGGACGAGGGCGCCCGGGUCCCGGUCUCUCCAUUUAUCUUAAGGUUGACCUCGGAUCAGGUAGGAAUACGCGCUGA
rnacentral:misc_RNA from 1 species